rnacentral:lncRNA from 1 species
ACAGAGACUUUUGCUCCAAUUCUCUAUGUUUUUAAAUUUAAGAAUGAAGAAGAGCUCUUUGUGUGAAAUAAUGAAGUAAAACAGGGUAUUUCAAGUAGCAUCUUUACCAAAGAUUUGGGCAGAAUCUUCCACUGGCUUGGACCUAAAAGAUCUAACUGUGGCAUUGUAAAUGUCAAUAUUCCAAUGAGCGGAGCUGAGAUUGCAGGUGCAUUUGGAGGAGAAAAGCACAUUUGUGGUGGCAGGGCAUCUGGUGAUGACUCCUGGAAAUAGUGCAUGAGAAGGUUUACUUGUAUCAUCAACUAUGGUAAGGAUCUUCCUCUGGUGAAAGGAAUCAAGUUUCAGUAA